AGUUAAAGUAUAUCUUUUGGAUUUCAUAUCUAUAAAUAUAUAAUAUCUAUAUACGUGUAGAUCCAUCAAGUCUUAAAUAUCCAAAUCUAUAGGAUUGAGGUCUAAGAAUAUUUGAAGAUCUAUGAAUCCAACCGCACCUGCCAGGUCGAGCUGCAGCGCCGCACCGACGACAGCCCCUCGCUGAUCGCCGUCACCUACGUCAGUGGCGUCGAGGAGAUCAUAGAUGCCACCGGUAUCCUCGCGCAGGCCAUCCGCCAACGCCUCCUCAACUGUGGCUAGCUCCUCGAGACCGAACAGAUGUUCUGCGAGGUUGGCGAGCCGUGGCCCGUACUCAUCCCCGAUGAGGAAAUCCACCUCUCGUUCCCCGGUACUAAGUUGCGUGUUUCCUUCUCAUUCUUUUUCUACUUUCUCAGCAAGGCAUUUCUUCAUACAGGUCCUGUGCGACUUGUUGACCUUUCUGUUGUUUCCCUUGUUGGAUGUCGAUCUCAGCUUUAGUUUCCUUUAUCUUUCAACUGAUUAGGCGCCUGUAUUAUGCAUUUAGUUCUGAUAAUUCCAUGAGUAACAAAAGUUGGACAAUCCUUUCAGAUUUGAAGUCCAGUGCACAUA